AUUGAACGCUGGCGGCAGGCCUAACACAUGCAAGUCGAGCGGCAGCGGGAAAGUAGCUUGCUACUUUUGCCGGCGAGCGGCGGACGGGUGAGUAAUGCCUGGGAAAUUGCCCAGUCGAGGGGGAUAACAGUUGGAAACGACUGCUAAUACCGCAUACGCCCUACGGGGGAACGCAGGGGACCUUCGGGCCUUGCGCGAUUGGAUAUGCCCAGGUGGGAUUAGCUAGUUGGUGAGGUAAUGGCUCACCAAGGCGAGGAUCCCUAGCUGGUCUGAGAGGAUGAUCAGCCACACUGGAACUGAGACACGGUCCAGACUCCUACGGGAGGCAGCAGUGGGGAAUAUUGCACAAUGGGGGAAACCCUGAUGCAGCCAUGCCGCGUGUGUGAAGAAGGCCUUCGGGUUGUAAAGCACUUUCAGCGAGGAGGAAAGGUUGAUGCCUAAUACGUAUCAACUGUGACGUUACUCGCAGAAGAAGCACCGGCUAACUCCGUGCCAGCCGCCGCCGUAAGAC
rnacentral:rRNA from 1 species